UCAGGACGAACGCUGGCGGCGUGCCUAAUACAUGCAAGUCGAACGAACUCUGGUAUUGAUUGGUGCUUGCAUCAUGAUUUACAUUUGAGUGAGUGGCGAACUGGUGAGUAACACGUGGGAAACCUGCCCAGAAGCGGGGGAUAACACCUGGAAACAGAUGCUAAUACCGCAUAACAACUUGGACCGCAUGGUCCGAGUUUGAAAGAUGGCUUCGGCUAUCACUUUUGGAUGGUCCCGCGGCGUAUUAGCUAGAUGGUGGGGUAACGGCUCACCAUGGCAAUGAUACGUAGCCGACCUGAGAGGGUAAUCGGCCACAUUGGGACUGAGACACGGCCCAAACUCCUACGGGAGGCAGCAGUAGGGAAUCUUCCACAAUGGACGAAAGUCUGAUGGAGCAACGCCGCGUGAGUGAAGAAGGGUUUCGGCUCGUAAAACUCUGUUGUUAAAGAAGAACAUAUCUGAGAGUAACUGUUCAGGUAUUGACGGUAUUUAACCAGAAAGCCACGGCUAACUACGUGCCAGCAGCCGCGGUAAUACGUAGGUGGCAAGCGUUGUCCGGAUUUAUUGGGCGUAAAGCGAGCGCAGGCGGUUUUUUAAGUCUGAUGUGAAAGCCUUCGGCUCAACCGAAGAAGUGCAUCGGAAACUGGGAAACUUGAGUGCAGAAGAGGACAGUGGAACUCCAUGUGUAGCGGUGAAAUGCGUAGAUAUAUGGAAGAACACCAGUGGCGAAGGCGGCUGUCUGGUCUGUAACUGACGCUGAGGCUCGAAAGUAUGGGUAGCAAACAGGAUUAGAUACCCUGGUAGUCCAUACCGUAAACGAUGAAUGCUAAGUGUUGGAGGGUUUCCGCCCUUCAGUGCUGCAGCUAACGCAUAAGCAUCCG
rnacentral:rRNA from 1 species